rnacentral:tRNA from 1 species
UAACAAAUUAAAUGCCUUAGAAUAAGAAUCUC